UACGAGGGGUGCAAGCGUUGCUCGGAAUUAUUGGGCGUAAAGGGCAUGUAGGUGGUCUCAUUUGUCAGGGGUGAAAGCCUUGGGCUUAACCCAAGAAGUGCCUUUGAAACGGUGAGACUGGAGUCUUGGAGAGGGUCGUGGAAUUCCCAGCGUAGCGGUGAAAUGCGUAGAGAUUGGGAGGAACACCAGCGGCGAAGGCGGCGACCUGGACAAGUACUGACACUCAACUGCGAAAGCGUGGGUAGCAAACAGG
rnacentral:rRNA from 1 species